rnacentral:rRNA from 1 species
UACGAAGGGGGCUAGCGUUGCUCGGAAUUACUGGGCGUAAAGGGAGCGUAGGCGGAUAGUUUAGUCAGAGGUGAAAAUCCCGGGGCUCAACCUCGGAACUGCCUUUGAUACUGGCUAUCGUUGAGUAUGGGAGAGGUGUGGUGGAACUCCGAGUGUAGAGGUGAAAUUACGUAGAUAUUCGGAAGAACACCAGUGGCGAAGG